rnacentral:lncRNA from 1 species
UGAACAAAGUAUCAGGGUGACAGGGAUGGAGGUCUUGCCUAGAUUCAACAUGAAUUCUACUAAUGGUGAACCUGCUCGCAGCCACUACUGAGCGCUCAGUCUGCCAGUCACAAAAGGAUGGUUAUCAAGCCCUUUGUUUCUGUGUUUGGAGAGCUGUCUUCUCUGCUCAGUGUUUGAUGCCAAUGCUAUUCUGUCUUCAUGGUAUUCUGUGAAGCUCCACUUCUGAUAAGGACCUCCUUCUCAGUACAUGCAGGGGGCAGUGGGUCGACACUCAGUGGGAUUUCCUGCCUUAUCCUGUUCCCUGUUGCACUGGACCAAAUAGUGUUCACUAAAAUACAUCCACAUGGAGCCGGUGAACAUGACCUGAUUUGGAAAUGGAGUAUAAACAGAGAUAAUCUGGUUAAGAUGACGUCAUAUUGGACAGCCUUCUAGGAACAGGAAAAUCUGGACACUGGGAGGACAGUCUCAUGAAGACAGGCAAAGACUGGACUUGCACUGUCGAAUAAUGCAUCGCCAGCAGCACCCAAAGCCAGAAGGAGCAAGAAGUGGUCUUCCAUGGAGAUUUCAAGCAUGGCCUGUCCCUGCUGAUGCUAUUUCACACUUACCGCCUACGCUGUGAGGACAUAUGCCUGUGUUGUCUUGCAAUGGCUCCUGAUGAUUUGUUAUGGAAGCCUGUAUUCUGAAGCAGCUGGGGAGUGGCCUUCCGUGGACUCAGUUACAGUUACAGCUCCACCAUGUGGCCAUGCCUUGCAAAGUGGGGACAACGUCCACUAGGGUUGUAUGCACGGAAUCAAGCCAGGAUGGAGAGUGACUCUGCCCUAGUGAAACCUUUGCACCUCGGCCCAGCAUCUAGAGGGCAUACAUAGGUCAUGUGGCAUAUAUAAGAUUCCUAGGACUUCAUAAGAACCUCAACCCCCAAACCAGGAGGCCCGAAGACAUUCUUGAGUUCUAGAGGCUUGGAGUCUGGAUGUGUUGGCAGGUGCUCCUAGCAGGGUUCUGAUGGAAAAUCCAUUCUGGACCUUUUAGUGUCCUAGCAACAUGAUGCUCUCUGGGAAGUGAAGCCCCUGUGGCCAUGGUGCUCCCUCAGCACAGGAAGGUGGAGGACUCGGUGGAGGACGAAGAUGAAAGCACCGCCUGCAGUCAUGUGGCCAGCUUCCUGUGAGCAAUGCCAUUGUCAAGUGCACCUCUUGUUUUAAUGUGAAUAGCUGGUGGGAACUUGUAGGUAACACAUCCACGUCCCUCUGUUUCCCUCCCCCUCUUACCCUUUAUCAUCUAAGGUAAGAUACUAAUGAAUAGUUGUAAUUUAUGCCCCAGAAUUCUAAGCCCCAGGUUCUCAGGGAAUGAAGCGGCCAUUUUUAGGGACUCUGCAUAUCCUCCUGCAGAGGAGGUCUGCGUGUUGCUACUGCACAAGGAAUAACUGUCAUUUCUCUGGAGGUUAAGGAUGGUCUAAGGAGAUGUGUGUGAGUGUCAAGUUGACAAAAGAAACUGUACUGCUCCAACUCAGCCUGGCUGAGUCCAGGUCUCCAAACACAUAAACAGUACAGUUUGGCUUGUAAAGAUAGAAUGCUGUGACCAGGUGCCUUUAAAUCAAGGGUGGUCCUCCCUAACCUGGGAAGGCCCACUCACGGGCUUGAGGUCUCCUCAGAGAGGAGAAAUUAGACAGCUUUAACUGCCUGAGGUCCCUCCAUGGCAGGACUGUCCAGCAACAAGCACAAAAGCCCACAACAAUACACACACAUCCCAGCUGCUUCUGCUGACGGUACCUGGACUGCUCAAGAGUCUCAACUCCUUGUUCCUGUGUAUCAUGUUGGCCAACACAGGUUGCCUGGUAGGCUGGGACACUUGUUGCAUCAGGGGCUCUUCUCUUGCUUGUGUCUGAGAACAGAGUGUGUGUGGUGUCUCCAGCAAAGGCUGAGAUUUCCCCAUCUAGGCUGGAGUCUGUAGGAAGAGAUAGGCCUCGAUCCAAAGGCUUGAAGUGAGUCAGAAGCUUCAAAUGGUGAAAAGAGCUGGGGCAUCAGGCUGGGAAGAUGUCUCCACUCAUUAUCAUUGUGGGAGAGGAGGCAUGUCAAUCAACCUGUGACAAAAUACCCAAGAAAUUCAACUUAUCAGCAGGAAGUAUUUUGUCUCAUGGUAGUGAUUUGUGGUGUGUGUGUGUGUGUGUGUGUGUGUGUGUGUGUGUGUGUGUGUGUGUGUGUGUUGGGGGCAGGGGAAGAUUAGAUAGAGGUCCGGGAGAGCCCUGAGGAAACUGAACAGACUGAAGAGCUACAGAUUCUCUGGGCAGGAGAGAGCUUGGUAUGACAUACAUCUUGCAUGGUAGCGUGUGCUUGAGGCUGAGCCAAGAGAAGUGAUAGGGUAUGAAACCGAGAUGGGCAGGACAGCUUAUGUGAGACACUAUCAGCAGGGGGCUGGAGAGAUGGCUCAGUGGUUAAGAGCACUGACUGCUCUCCCAAAGGUCCUGAGUUCAAUUCCCA